rnacentral:lncRNA from 1 species
AGAUAUUCCCAGAAUACUACACAAAGAACCAGGGGAUUGUGCAGCCUUGCUUCAGCCAGGAAGAGAUUGGAGAUGCUUCAUUCGCUCUUUGAAACAUGCAGACUGAUGCCCUCCGCAUGUGUUUGUAUUCAAAUACCAAUGAGCAAGGACGAUAGAACCAGUGUAAGAAAUGUUCCAAGUCAUCCAGGUGUCAAACAAACCAAUUAAAUUAAAGGCUAAAGCUCUGGUUCCUGACUCCAACUAUCCACCAACACAGACCCUGUGACAUAGCAGUGAUGGCUCAAGUGAUUUGGUUCCUGCCCCAUUGUGGGAGAACUGGAUUGUGUUCACAGCACCUGACUCUGGCCACAGCCAGCUCCACCCAUUGCAGCCAUUUGAAGAGUGAACUAGCAGUUUUUUCUCCAGAAAUUCAUAGGAGUUUCAGUAUUGCCCAAGGUGUAAAUCCACUAUUGACCAACACAGGGUAUGAUGACAGGUGAGUACCACAAUCUAUAACAGAAUUAAGUGGUAAGUGGGGUAGAAAUUGAGGAAUUUGAUAGGAAUUACAUACUAUUAUAGUAUUAAUGAUUUUGUGACUACUUUAAAAUUUAUAUGAGUGAAGUUGAACAUCUCUUCAUUUGUUUAUUGCUUAUAACCCUUGUCCAUUUUCCUGCU